rnacentral:rRNA from 1 species
UCGCCUGUUUAUCAAAAACAUCGCCUCUUGAUAAAUUAUAAGAGGUCCAGCCUGCCCAGUGAAAAAUUUAACGGCCGCGGUACCCUGACCGUGCGAAGGUAGCAUAAUCACUUGUUCUUUAAAUAAGGACUAGUAUCAACGGCAUCACGAGGGUUACACUGUCUCCUUUCUCCAAUCAGUGAAACUGAUCUUCCCGUGAAGAAGCGGGAAUAUAACCAUAAGACGAGAAGACCCCAUGGAGCUUUAAAUUUUAUAGCAACUCAGUCAAAUAAACCCUUAAAAUCCACAGAGCCAUGCAUGCCAAUUUUAGGUUGGGGUGACCGCGGAGUAAAAAUUAACCUCCACGACGAAAAGAACUAGAUCUUUAUCUAAGAGCUACAACUCUAAGAAUUAGAAUACUAACGACAAUGACCCGAUAAUUGAUCAACGGACUAAGUUACCCUGGGGAUAACAGCGCAAUCUACUUCGAGAGCUCAUAUCGACAAGUAGGCUUACGACCUCGAUGUUGGAUCAGGGUAUCCCAGUGGUGCAGCCGCUACUAAUGGUUCGUUUGUUCAACGAUUAAAACCCUACGUGAUCUGAG